rnacentral:lncRNA from 1 species
UUCCAAAUAACGAUAAAAAUGUAAAGUUGCAAUAAAAAGGAAAAACUAGAAUUUCCUUUUAUUUAAAAGGAAACAAAUUAUUACUCUACCAAAACAAGAAAAGCAAUAAUGAAAAUUCAAUCUUUAAUUGAUUUGAUUCCGAUUACGCCUAGAAUAUACUUUCCAAUUUGCAUCAUUCCUCCCCGACGCACUAGAAACCGAUGAAAACUACCAUUCUGCAAAGCAACAAACUGAUCAUCAAGUACCUCAUCAAUGACAUCCUGCAAAGAAAAUGGGGUAACAGGAUCUCGAGGAGGCAGUCGUGAAGACUGUUCUGCAUAAAUGUUAGGCGACAAUACUGGAGACUCAAAUGUGACUUGAUAAGGAUAUAAAUCUAUUAUAUUGAAAACAUGACUAAUAUUUAAGUGCGUUGACAGCUUAAGUUCCAAGCCGUUUAAUGAUGGGGAAAGGCCCUAGUGAUCUAGCACAAAGUUUCUUUGCAGCAUGUUUGGGGAAACUUUCAGGUGCAAGGCGAACCAUAACAUAAUCGCCUGCGUUAAAUUCUUUAUGCCUACUGUAGGGAUCAGCAGAUAAUUUAUACUGAUCAUUGCUUAAAGAAAUUUUACGUUUAAUCUCAUCAUGCAAGUCACAAAUAUGAUCAUCAAAAGCUUGAGACGAGGCAGUAGGACGAAAAUCAGGAGGCAAAGGGAUUAGAUCAAGCGGCUAGCGAGGAGAGAAACCCUAAACCACCUCAAAGGGACUAUGACCAGUAGAUCUAUUAGCAGAAUUAUUGUAAGCAAAUUUAGCGGUGGGCAACACAAGAUCCCAAUUCCCUGGUUUAUCCCUAAGCAACGAAGUAGAUUACCCAAAUUACGGUUUACAACUUCAGUUUGUCCAUUGGUUUGGGGGUGAAAUGCAUAAGAGAACUUAAGCGUCGUCCCAAAGAGUUUCCACAGCAUCUUCCAGAAGUAACUAACAAACUUGACAUCACGAUCUGACACGAUACUAACCAGUAGUCCAUGGAGACGGACAACCUCUUUGAAGAACAACUUUGCAAUGUAGGACGCAUCAGAAGACUUAGAGCAUGGGAUGAAGUGUGCUAUCUUAGAAAACCUAUCGACCACCACAAAGAUGGAAUCAUGACCUCGAGCUGUUUUGGGUAACCCAAGAACAAAGUCCAUACUAAGGUCACACCAAGGAAUAUGAGGAACCGGAAGAAGAGUAUACGUCCCAGUAUUUUGACGUUGUGCCUUACCCAAUUGACAUGUACGACAUUGAGAGACAAUGCGAUAAAUGUCUCUCUUAAGGGACGGCCAAUAAAAUCGAUCCUCAAUUAAGGCGAUUGUUUUUAUCCCGAUCGAAAUGACCAGCAAGACCUCCGGCAUGUAGUUCCUAGACUAGGAAAUCAUGAAGUGAAGGACGGGGGAUACAUAACUUGGUACCUUUGAAAAGAUAACCAUCUUUAAGCAAGAAGGAAACAUGGUCGCGAGAAGGAUUGUCUAAAAGGUCAUGAAAGAUGGUGCCAAAGUCAAGACAAUUUGGAUAAUCGUCCUUUAAGCGCUCAAAUCCCACCACAGUUGUGCUCAUCGACUGAAGCACCGUAGUGAUACGACUAAGAGUAUCAGCCGUUUUAUUUUCGACACCAGUAGAUGAUGGAGAACAAAAGUGUACUUCUGAAGAAAUUCAACCCACUUAACAUGGUGCUCACUUAAAUGGCACUGGGAGUUAAGGAAACAAAGAGCCUGAUGAUCAAAGUAUAGAAUAAACUCUUGAGGUAAUAAGUAAUAUCGCCAAUGACGGAGAGACUGGACAAUGGCAUAGAACUCCUUGUCAAGCCCGUCAUAGCUUGAAAAAAGAAAGAGACUUAUUGAAAGCUAAUACCAAGUUUAUGGAAGGCAUAAGAGUUGUUCUUCUUCUAUACCGUCACUUGAAUGAAGACACCCGAUCGGCCCGACUUUCCCAAAUUCCCAAAUAGAGGGGAUUCCAAUUCUAUAGCACCGUCUUCUUCCGAAAGGGACGAAGUGACUCAGCUUGGUUUAUCUUUUCGCUGAAGAAGGUGAUGGGAUGACCUUCUUGACUUAAGACACCUCCGAUACCUACACCGGAAGCAUCACAAGCAACCUUAAAAACCUUAGAAAGAUUCGGGUGGCGUAAAAUAAGAGUUUCGAUCAACUUUUGCUUGAAAGCUAAGAAGGCUUUUUAGGCCGAAGGGGUCCAACGAAAAUCUCCCUUUUUCAUAUACUCAGUAAUGGGAGUAGUGAGGGAGCUAAAACCUUUAAUGAACCUCCUAUAGAAAGAUGCAAGCUCGUGAAAGCUACGGAUCUCAGUUAAGGUGGAAGGGAUAGGCCAAUCCCGAAUAACAGAGAUUUUAGCGAGGUUAGCAGAAAUACCAUGUGCUGAAAUAAUGAACCCUAAGAAAAGGACUUGGGACCGGAGGAAAGAACGCUUUUUUAGGUUAGCAAAUAACUGAGCAGAGCGAAGAGUAAAGAAGACCUGACAAAGGUGAUCUAAGUGAGCUUCCUGUGAUCAACUAUAAAUCAAAAUGUCAUCAAAAUAGACAAUAAGGAACUUCCCAAUAAAAGGGCGUAAGACAUGAGUCAUGGCCUGCAUGAAAGUGCUAGGAGCAUUAGACAACCCAAAAGGCAUAACCAACCAUUCAUACAAGCCAUCUUGGUUCUUAAAUGCCGUUUUCCAUUCAUCUCUGGGUCUAAUCAGAAUUUGAUGAUAGCCACUUCGUGGAUCAAUCUUGGAGAACCACAAAGAUCCUGCCAACUCAUCUAACAAAUCCUUAAGGCGUGGAAUAGGAAAGCGGUACUUAAUGGUGACUUUGUAGAUGACGCCACUAUCAACACACAUGCGCCACGAGCCGUCCUUCUGAGGGGUGAGUAAAACUAGAAUUGCACUAGGGCUAAGGCUAGGGUGAAUAAAGCCUUUAUUGAGUAGAGUUUCAAUUUGCCUAUUGAGUUCAGCUCACUCAGUAGGGUUCAUUCUAUAAUAAGGUCGAUUUGGAAACUGGGAGCUAAGUACAAGAUCGAUGGCAUGUUGAAUAUCCCGCAUAGGAGGAAGCUCAUCAAGUAGGUCGACAAGCAUAAUAUCAUGAAACUCGUCGAGUAAAGGAGUCACUUUGGGUGGGAUGUCUAUGGGAAAAUCAGGAGAGGUUUGAAAACAUGCUUUAGCAACCAAGGCAAACAUAAGCCCAGUGUCUUGACCUUCACGUUCAAAAUCUUAAGAGACAAUAGUUGGAGACAACUGUCUGAAACACCUUUGGGUGUGGAGAUGGAAGUUGUCCUCUUUGGAGGGUCUGAGGGCUUGGUCGGUAGCAGGCGAAUAGUUUUGCCAUCGUAGAGAAAUUCAUACGUAUUGUCACGCCUGAAAUGCUUAAUAUCAUAAUCAUAAAGCUAAGGGCGACCCAAAAGGAUAUGAGCAACGUCCAUAGGUAAGACAUCACAAUAAAUGUCCUCUGAAAAAAAUGGGCCCAAUUUAAGAGGUAUGAGACAGCGAUGAGUGACGGGUAAAGAGGUUCGAUCUACCCACGCCACCUUAAACGGUCGAGGAUGUAGUUCGGUCUUGAAGUGGAAUUUGGCCACUGCGGACUUAGAUACGACAUUCAUGGUGCUACCAUCGUCAAUAACUAACUUGCAUGAACGAGAGUUGCAUGGAAUGAAUGUAUGGAAAAUAGAAGUUUGCUUCCACGAGUACGAAUCAAUAGGGGUGGAAAUGAUACAUCUCAUGACCGAGACAACAACAGUAUCCUCUUCAUAACACUCAAAGUGGUCAAGAUCAUCAAUAGAAUGGUCAAUAGGGUUGACCAUGAAACACUCAUUCUCUGGGGUUGGAAGCAGGGAUUUCUGUGCAAGGGCGAGGGCAUGAUUGGGAGAUUGAGAGGCAAAUGACCUCGAGCAUGACAGCUAUGGCAUACAAUUUGAGGGUUAGGACCCCAAGUGGUAGCUAAAGAAACAGGUUGACCCCUAGAAGGGUCGCGAGGAAUAGGAGUGGGAGAAGAUCCUACAGUCGAGCGGGCCUGGCUCAAUGUAGGACUACUAGUAGGAGCACUAGUCAGAGGGGGAUGAGAGAGACGCGGGUCAAGUAAAGUGGGAGGGCCACGUUGCAAAUAUGAAGAACGGGAGCAUCACUGGUGUUCGAGUUCUUUGUGAAAAGCAUCCUCUAACGAAUCGAGAUUGAGUAUAAGAACGUGAUGUUUGAGAUCUGGGAGUGGGCUGUUAAGGAACCUAGUAAUUGUGAUGUCCUUGGGUUCAGCAAGGUUAAAAAGAUGUUCCAAGAGUUGAGAUCGAUGGUAAGACGGGAUGUACUUCUCAGUGAGUUUUAGUUUCAUUUCUCCCCACGAAGUAAUAGGUUGGCCUAAGCGGUCGAGGGAUUGUGUCACCGUCUACCAAUAGCGCUUAGCAGAUUUAACAACUUUCAUCUUAACGAAAUGAAUACGUUGAUAAUCAGGCAUUUGGUACCAAUCGAAGUAUUCUUCGAUGGCAUCGCACCAAUCAAGAAAGGCUUCCGAUUCUAGGCAACUAUCAAAUUUCGGGGCGUCAAGUUUAACUUCCUAGUAACGUCAUCAACAAGAUCUCUAUGUUGUUUAUAACGUGAGCGUGGGGAUGGAUGUGGAAGACCAAGACUAGGGACAUUAUUGACAACUAGGUCACUAAGUUCCGUAUAAGUAAUGUGAUGUGUAGGACCAAGAUUGUGUGGAUUAGGUAGUAUGCCAUCUGGGGUACGGAGGAGUGAUUCGUGGAUGUUCUGACCAACUGUGGAAGAAUCGGAUAAAUCAUCUAUAGGAUGUUUGCCCGAGUUUCUGGAUGACUGCUCAAUACGUUCAGUAAGAUUUUGAAUGAGAGUUUUAAGCUCAGCUAGAUCAGAUUUUGCUGACAGUAUGUCAAGGGAGAGAUUAGUGACUUGCGGUGAGAGUGCAUCAUGAGAGUGGUUAAGAUCCUUUAGAUUCAUUAUGAGCCAAGCACGUGAUUAGUGUAGAAAUGUGUGACGAGAUUUAGUCAAUUAUGAAUGUUGAUAAAUCAAUUCGACAGCGUGCCUCCUUUUUUUCUAUAUGUAAUGCGUAUCUAAAACUAAACUACGUGAACUAAAAACAAUUUUGUUUAUCUAUUUUUUUUUAUUUUUAUUGUAUAGUAUUAUAAUAAUAAUUAUUUUUUUUCUAAUUUUUUUUUUAUCUUUUUCUGUAUUUUUAUUUUUUGUUUUUGGUUUGGCCUGGAACUAAAACUAAGUCAACUUAAGAAAUCAAAAGCACUUGAAUAAAAGUACAGUAUCAAAAGCAAGAUUAAACCUUACUUACAGCAGGGUUCGAGCUGACCGGACAAGGAGGCGACAAUGGAACUGGAAUAGCUUGGGUACUGACGAGCGAAAAAUGGGUUGGGCUAUGUGGAGCAGCAGGAGUUGCGAAGGUUGGAGAUGCAGAGGCGCGAUGAAAUUGCAGCAGGUACAGCGACUGAACACGACAACGGUAGAUAGUAGAGAGGGAAGUCAAAACUGUGGUGACUGAAGAGCGAAAUAGCGAAGUCUCUGGCCUCGGAGCGGAGUAGUGGCAACAACGAGAAACUGAUACAGCAGUAGCGGUGGAUUGGUGCUGACGAAAAGAGAUGUCGAUGGCUAAAUUGGAAGAACCAAUAGAUGCAGUAAGUGAAUUACAACCGGAUAACCCAUAGAGGCGGUAAAGGCGCGACUAAUGUGGAUAUGGGCGAUGGCAGCGGUAGGGAAUCAAAGCACAGAUGGCACUAGGUGAGGCGAGUUUGCAGAGACAAUGUUGAAAGGAAGGAGGCAGAGCAAUAGCGAUCCAAAUUGACCCUCAGACCACCUCGCAACGGUAUUCCACAGCAGCAGUGGGACGGUAAGUUUGUGGUUGUGAGAUGUGGUGGAUGUUGGCGUCGGUGUGAGAGAGAUAGGAAAGAUGAUUGUUGUGUGAUUAUUGGGCUGAG